CGAUAUCGACGUAGUUUGAUCCUGGCUACAGAACGAACGCUGGCGGCAGGCUUAACACAUGCAAGUCGAACGGGUGUAGCAAUACAUCAGUGGCAGACGGGUGAGUAACACGUGGGAACCUUCCUAGGGGUACGGAACAACUCAGGGAAACUUGAGCUAAUACCGUAUACGUCCGUGAGGAGAAAGAUUUAUCGCCCUUAGACGGGCCCGCGUCGGAUUAGGUAGUUGGUGGGGUAACGGCCUACCAAGCCUACGAUCCGUAGCUGAUCUGAGAGGAUGAUCAGCCACACUGGGACUGAGACACGGCCCAGACUCCUACGGGAGGCAGCAGUGGGGAAUCUUGGACAAUGGGCGCAAGCCUGAUCCAGCCAUGCCGCGUGAGUGAAGAAGGCCUUCGGGUUGUAAAGCUCUUUUGUCAGGGACGAUAAUGACGGUACCUGAAGAAUAAGCCCCGGCAAACUUCGUG
rnacentral:rRNA from 1 species